rnacentral:rRNA from 1 species
AUAGAAGUUUACUUCGGUACAUUCGGUGACAGGUGGUGCAUGGUUGUCGUCAGCCCGUGUCGUGAGAUUGUUGGGUUAAGUCCCGCAACGAGCGCAACCCCUAUUGUUAGUUGCCAUCAUUCAGUUGGGCACUCUAGCGAGACUGCCGGUAAUAAACCGGAGGAAGUGGGGAUGACGUCAAAUCAUCAUGCCCCUUAUAACCUGGGCUACACACGUGCUACAAUGGUUGGUACAACGAGUUGCGAGUCGGUGACGGCGAGCUAAUCUCUUAAAGCCAAUCUCAGUUCGGAUUGUAGGCUGCAACUCGCCUACAUGAAGUCGGAAUCGCUAGUAAUCGCGGAUCAGCACGCCGCGGUGAAUACGUUCCCGGGCCUU